rnacentral:rRNA from 1 species
UGGGGAAUAUUGGACAAUGGGCGCAAGCCUGAUCCAGCCAUGCCGCGUGAGUGAUGAAGGCCCUAGGGUUGUAAAGCUCUUUCACCGGUGAAGAUAAUGACGGUAACCGGUGAAGAAGCCCCGGCUAACUUCGUGCCAGCAGCCGCGGUAAUACGAAGGGGGCUAGCGUUGUUCGGAUUUACUGGGCGUAAAGCGCACGUAGGCGGACUAUUAAGUCAGGGGUGAAAUCCCGGGGCUCAACCCCGGAACUGCCUUUGAUACUGGUAGUCUUGAGUUCGAGAGAGGUGAGUGGAAUUCCGAGUGUAGAGGUGAAAUUCGUAGAUAUUCGGAGGAACACCAGUGGCGAAGGCGGCUCACUGGCUCGAUACUGACGCUGAGGUGCGAAAGCGUGGGGAGCAAACAGG